rnacentral:lncRNA from 1 species
UUACAAACUCUUUCCACCUUCAGUUCAUCUUGCUCUGGACGAAUAAAAAGGGAAAAUCCAACAGCUUACAUUAUAUCAUCUUCUUUGUUGAUUUUUUUAUUUUUAAUUCUUUCUACCUUCAUUCAACAGUUCAUCUUCUCCGUUGACUAUUUUAUCCCUCGACAAAUCCAAUGAAUCAAGCAAAAUCCAUCAGAUCUGUCACCGCAAGGAAGAAUGGAAUGCAGAAGCUUGAAUGGCAUAAGAACUUCUGGAAAAUACAAACAAGUCAAGUUUGAAGAACAGCUGUCUAGGGGCAACACCACAUAAUUGCUCGAAUUUUUUUAAAAUUAUCCAACACCACAACAAAUAAUAAUUAUUAUGAUUAUUUGUUUAAAAAUAUUUACUAAGUU